rnacentral:rRNA from 1 species
GCCAGCAGCCAUAUCACCCUGCAACUUGAUGCUAAGCAGGUGUGAGCCUGGUCAGUACCUGGAUGGGAGACCUCCUGGGAAAAACUAAGGUUGCUGCUGGAA